UGGUUGACUUCUCAAGCCUGUCUCUCUGCUUCAUUGAAUGGAAGAGCCUGUUAUGUCUGACUGCAUCCCUUUUGAAGUUUCAAAUGGUCACAGCCUACAAGACAGAAUGACAAAAGGCCAUCAGUCAACAUAAAUAGAUGCUCAGCCCACAUCUGGUCUGGUCUGGUCUGGUCUUGGACUGGGGAGGUCCUCAGAAUGUAAAUCUGUCUUUUGCAUUGAGAUGAUUAUUACGUUUGAAAAUCUGAAGACUGACCUGAAGAAUCAGCUUUAAAAUCAGUGCCAAAAAAGAGUCUCCAGCUGGACCUAAGGUUAAGCAAUUUAGAAGACUCUUAAGCAGCUUUCAUCUUGGAUGAAUGUAAAGGAAAACAUGACCUUUCCUGCAUGCAAUACUACCCAUUCCUUCUGGGAGAAAAUGUCUUUAAAACAGGUGUGAUUUUCCAGAGCAAUUGGCUGUACAAAGGUUUCUUCACUUUGUUUAAGUAAUCUGUUAUCUAGCUGAGGAGAAAGAAGAUAUAUUUGAUCCAACUGAACUCUGAGGAAAUGCAGUGAUUGUACCUGUUUCUCGUCUGUUACCUACUCACAAUGAGCUCGGGGAGGGAUGAACAACAUAGACCAGGAGCUGAACACCUAUGUUAAUGUACUGCCUUUUGUUUCCUUGAUGGAAAGUCUGCCUAAUCAGGAGUCCUGAUUCAAACACAAUCUGCAGAUGUUAGUAAUGCAAGACUGAAAAUGAUACACAUAAACAUUUCACCUGCUUAAGAUCUGAAUAAAAGCAUGUCUUGAAAGAGAGAAUGGUUUUAGUUUCCCUUAAAAAUGACUUAGAAGGUAGUGUGUGGAGACAAGAAGCAUUCUGGCUUUUGAUGGCUAGAGAACCAACUUUGAGUCCUAGCUCUG